rnacentral:rRNA from 1 species
AUGAACGCUAGCUACAGGCUUAACACAUGCAAGUCGAGGGGCAGCAUGAACUUAGCUUGCUAAGUUUGAUGGCGACCGGCGCACGGGUGAGUAACACGUAUCCAACCUGCCGAUGACUCGGGGAUAGCCUUUCGAAAGAAAGAUUAAUACCCGAUGGCAUAGUUCUUCCGCAUGGUAGAACUAUUAAAGAAUUUCGGUCAUCGAUGGGGAUGCGUUCCAUUAGGUUGUUGGCGGGGUAACGGCCCACCAAGCCUUCGAUGGAUAGGGGUUCUGAGAGGAAGGUCCCCCACAUUGGAACUGAGACACGGUCCAAACUCCUACGGGAGGCAGCAGUGAGGAAUAUUGGUCAAUGGACGAGAGUCUGAACCAGCCAAGUAGCGUGAAGGAUGACUGCCCUAUGGGUUGUAAACUUCUUUUAUACGGGAAUAAAGUGAGGCACGUGUGCCUUUUUGUAUGUACCGUAUGAAUAAGGAUCGGCUAACUCCGUGCCAGCAGCCGCGGUAAUACGGAGGAUCCGAGCGUUAUCCGGAUUUAUUGGGUUUAAAGGGAGCGUAGGCGGACGCUUAAGUCAGUUGUGAAAGUUUGCGGCUCAACCGUAAAAUUGCAGUUGAUACUGGGUGUCUUGAGUACAGUAGAGGCAGGCGGAAUUCGUGGUGUAGCGGUGAAAUGCUUAGAUAUCACGAAGAACUCCGAUUGCGAAGGCAGCCUGCUGGACUGUAACUGACGCUGAUGCUCGAAAGUGUGGGUAUCAAACAGGAUUAGAUACCCUGGUAGUCCACACAGUAAACGAUGAAUACUCGCUGUUUGCGAUAUACAGUAAGCGGCCAAGCGAAAGCGUUAAGUAUUCCACCUGGGGAGUACGCCGGCAACGGUGAAACUCAAAGGAAUUGACGGGGGCCCGCACAAGCGGAGGAACAUGUGGUUUAAUUCGAUGAUACGCGAGGAACCUUACCCGGGCUUGAAUUGCAACUGAAUGAUGUGGAGACAUGUCAGCCGCAAGGCAGUUGUGAAGGUGCUGCAUGGUUGUCGUCAGCUCGUGUCGUGAGAUGUUGGGUUAAGUCCCGCAACGAGCGCAACCCCUAUCUUUAGUAGCCAGCGGUUCGGCCGGGCACUCUAGAGAGACUGCCAGGGAUAACCUGGAGGAAGGUGGGGAUGACGUCAAAUCAGCACGGCCCUUACGUCCGGGGCUACACACGUGUUACAAUGGGGGGUACAGAAGGCAGCUACACGGCGACGUGAUGCUAAUCCCGAAAGCCUCUCUCAGUUCGGAUUGGAGUCUGCAACCCGACUCCAUGAAGCUGGAUUCGCUAGUAAUCGCGCAUCAGCCACGGCGCGGUGAAUACGUUCCCGGGCCUUGUACACACCGCCCGUCACACCAUGAGAGUUGGGAAUACCCGAAGCCUGUGAGCCAACAUAUUUAUAUGAGGCAGCAGUCGAAGGUAGAAUCAAUGAUUGGGGUG